rnacentral:rRNA from 1 species
GUCUGGGAAACUGCCCGUAUGGAGGGGGAUCAACUACUGGAAACUGGUAGCUAAUACCGCAUAACGUCGCAAGACCAAAGUGGGAGGACCUUCUGGGUCCUCACACCAUCGUGAUGUGCCCAGAUGGGAUUAGCUAGUAGGUGGGGUAAUGGCUCACCUAGGCGACGAUCCCUAGCUGGUCUGAGAGGAUGACCAGCCACACUGGAACUGAGACACGGUCCUAGACUCCUACUGGGAGGCAGCAGUGGGGAAUAUUGCACAAUGGGCGCAAGCCUGAUGCAGCCAUGCCGCGUGUAUGAAGAAGGCCUUCGGGUUGUAAAGUACUUUCAGCGGGGAGGAAGGCGGUGAGGUUAAUAACCUUGCCGAUUGACGUUACCCGCAGAAGAAGCACCGGCUAACUCCGUGCCAGCAGCCGCGGUAAUACGGAGGGUGCAAGCGUUAAUCGGAAUUACUGGGCGUAAAGCGCACGCAGGCGGUCUGUUAAGUCAGAUGUGAAAUCCCCGGGCUUAACCUGGGAACUGCAUUUGAAACUGGCAGGCUUGAGUCUCGUAGAGGGGGGUAGAAUUCCAGGUGUAGCGGUGAAAUGCGUAUAGAUCUGGAGGAAUACCGGUGGCGAAGGCGGCCCCCUGGACGAAGACUGACGCUCAGGUGCGAAAAGCGUGGGAGCAAACAGGAUUA